rnacentral:rRNA from 1 species
AACGCUAGCGGCAGGCUUAACACAUGCAAGUCAGGGGCAGCACGAUGUAGCAAUACAUGGGUGGCGACCGGCGCAUGGGUGCGUAACACGUAUGGAACCUGCCCUGUACUGGGAGAUAGCCCUCCGAAAGGAGGAUUAAUAUCCCAUAACAGAUCGAGUGGCAUCACUUGGUCUUAAAAGCUCCGGCGGGUACAGGAUGGCCAUGCGCACGAUUAGCUAGUAGGUGAGGUAACGGCUCACCUAGGCUACGAUCGUUAGGGGGCCUGAGAGGGUUAUCCCCCACACUGGUACUGAGACACGGACCAGACUCCUACGGGAGGCAGCAGUGUGGAAUAUUGCGCAAUGGAGGCAACUCUGACGCAGCCAUGCCGCGUGCAGGAAGAAGGCGCUACGCGUUGUAAACUGCUUUAACCGGGAAGAAACCCCAGGACGUGUCCUGGGUUGACGGUACCGGCGGAAUAAGCACCGGCUAACUUCGUG